rnacentral:rRNA from 1 species
UACAGAGGGUGCAAGCGUUAAUCGGAGUUACUGGGCGUAAAGGGCGCGUAGGCGGCCGAGCAAGUGAGACGUGAAAUCCCCGGGCUUAACCUGGGAACUGCGACUUAUACUGUUGGGCUAGAGUACUGUAGAGGGUAGUGGAAUUUCCGGUGUAGCGGUGAAAUGCGUAGAGAUCGGAAGGAACACCAGUGGCGAAGGCGGCUACCUGGACAGAUACUGACGCUGAGGCGCGAGAGCGUGGGGAGCAAACAGG